rnacentral:rRNA from 1 species
UACAUGUGGGGCAAGCGUUGUUCGGAAUUACUGGGCAUAAAGGGUGCGUAGGCGGCUUGUUAAGUCAUUGGUGAAAGUUUUCGGCCCAACCGGAAAAUUGCCUGUGAUACUGGCGAGCUAGAGUGUGAUAGAGGAUGGUGGAAUUCCCGGUGUAGCGGUGAAAUGCGUAGAGAUCGGGAGGAACAUCAGUGGCGAAGGCGGCCAUCUGGAUCAACACUGACGCUGAAGCACGAAAGCGUGGGGAGCAAACAGG